rnacentral:rRNA from 1 species
CUGUUCGAGCGUCAUUACACCACUCAAGCUAUGCUUGGUAUUGGGUGCCGUCUUAGUUGGGCGCGCCUUAAAGACCUCGGCGAGGCCUCACCGGCUUUAGGCGUAGUAGAAUUUAUUCGAACGUCUGUCAAAGGAGAGGACUUCUGCCGACUGAAACCUUUUAUUUUUCUAGGUUGACCUCGGAUCAGGUAGGGAUACCCGCUGAACUUAAGCAUAUCAAUAAGCGGAGGAAAAGAAACCAACAGGGAUUGCCCUAGUAACGGCGAGUGAAGCGGCAACAGCUCAAAUUUGAAAGCUGGCCUUCGGGUCCGCAUUGUAAUUUGUAGAGGAUGCUUUGGGUGAAACGCCAGUCUAAGUUCCUUGGAACAGGACGUCAUAGAGGGUGAGAAUCCCGUAUGUGACUGGAAAUGUUAACCUAUGUAAAGCUCCUUCGACGAGUCGAGUUGUUUGGGAAUGCAGCUCUAAAUGGGAGGUAAAUUUCUUCUAAAGCUAAAUAUUGGCGAGAGACCGAUAGCGCACAAGUAGAGUGAUCGAAAGAUGAAAAGCACUUUGGAAAGAGAGUUAAAAAGCACGUGAAAUUGUUGAAAGGGAAGCGCUUGCAAUCAGACUUGUUUAAACUGUUCGGCCGGUCUUCUGACCGGUUUACUCAGUUUGGACAGGCCAGCAUCAGUUUCGGCGGCCGGAUAAAGGCUCUGGGAAUGUGGCCUUCACUUCGGUGAAGGUGUUAUAGCCCAGGGUGUAAUACGGCCAGCCGGGACUGAGGUCCGCGCU